rnacentral:pre_miRNA from 1 species
UAGCUACUCCCUCCGUUCCAAAGUAGAUGACCCAACUUUGUACUAAAUAGUUAGUACAAAGUUGGGUCAUCUACUUUGGAACGGAGGGAGUAUAAU